GACGAACCGUGCGAACGUUGUUCGGAUUCACUGGGCUUAAAGGGCGCGUAGGCGGGUCAGCAAGUCCGGGGUGAAAGCUUUCGGCUCAACCGGAAAAGGGCCUUGGAUACUGCUGGUCUGGAGGAAGGUAGGGGCGUGUGGAACUUCCGGUGGAGCGGUGAAAUGCGUAGAUAUCGGAAGGAACGCCGGUGGCGAAAGCGACACGCUGGACCUUUUCUGACGCUGAGGCGCGAAAGCCAGGGGGGCAAACGGG
rnacentral:rRNA from 1 species